rnacentral:Y_RNA from 10 species
GGCUGGUCCAAGUACAGUAGUGUUUACAACUAUAUGAUCACAACCAGUUACAGAUUUCUUUGUUCCUUCUCCAUCCCCACUGCUUUACUUGACUAGCCAAAA